AAACCGGAGCUAAUACCGGAUAAUAUUUUGAACCGCAUGGUUCAAAAGUGAAAGACGGUCUUGCUGUCACUUAUAGAUGGAUCCGCGCUGCAUUAGCUAGUUGGUAAGGUAACGGCUUACCAAGGCAACGAUGCAUAGCCGACCUGAGAGGGUGAUCGGCCACACUGGAACUGAGACACGGUCCAG
rnacentral:rRNA from 1 species